UUGAGGCUACAGUGAGCUAGGAUCAUGCCACUGCACUCCAGCCUGAGUGACAGAGCAAGACCCUGUCUC
rnacentral:miRNA from 1 species